rnacentral:rRNA from 1 species
AUAGGGUCAAGCAAUGAAGCGCACACGGUGGAUGCCUAGGCAGCCAGAGGCGAUGAAAGACGUGGAAGCCUGCGAUAAGGCUCGGCGAGGUGGCAAACAACCUGUGACCCGGGCAUUUCUGAAUGGGGAAACCCACUCAUCACAAGAUGAGUAUCCUGCACUGAAUACAUAGGUGACAGGAGGCGAACCAGGGGAACUGAAACAUCUAAGUACCCUGAGGAAAAGAAAUCAACCGAGAUUCCCCUAGUAGCGGCGAGCGAACGGGGACCAGCCCUUAAGCAUGUGACUGAUUAGGCGAAUGCGCUGGGAAGCGCGGCCAUAGUGGGUGAUAGCCCCGUAGUCGAAAAUCUGAUCAUGUGAAAUCGAGUAGGUCGGGGCACGAGAAACCUUGACUGAAGACGGGGGGACCAUCCUCCAAGGCUAAAUACUCCUGGCUGACCGAUAGUGAACCAGUACCGUGAGGGAAAGGCGAAAAGAACCCCGGAGAGGGGAGUGAAAUAGACCCUGAAACCGUGUGCGUACAAGCAGUCGGAGCGGACUUGUUCCGUGACGGCGUACCUUUUGUAUAAUGGGUCAGCGACUUAUAUUCUGUGGCGAGGUUAACCGACUAGGGGAGCCGUAGCGAAAGCGAGUCUUAACUGGGCGCACCAGUCGCAGGAUAUAGACCCGAAACCGAGCGAUCUAUCCAUGAGCAGGUUGAAGAUUGAGUAACAUCAAUUGGAGGACCGAACCAGGAUCUGUUGAAAAAGAUUUGGAUGACUUGUGGAUCGGAGUGAAAGGCUAAUCAAGCUCGGAGAUAGCUGGUUCUCCUCGAAAGCUAUUUAGGUAGCGCCUCAUGUAGCACCGCCGGGGGUAGAGCACUGUUUCGGCUAGGGGGUCAUCCCGACUUACCAACCCGAGGCAAACUCCGAAUACCGGUGAGUGACGCGUGGGAGACACACAGCGGGUGCUAACGUCCGUUGUGAAAAGGGAAACAACCCAGACCGUCAGCUAAGGUCCCGAAAUCCUGAUUAAGUGGGAAACGAUGUGGGAAGGCUCAGACAGCUAGGAGGUUGGCUUAGAAGCAGCCAUCCUUUAAAGAAAGCGUAAUAGCUCACUAGUCGAGUCGGCCUGCGCGGAAGAUGUAACGGGGCUAAAUCAGGUACCGAAGCUACGGGUUCAUCCUCUGGAUGAGCGGUAGAGGAGCGUCGUGUAAGCCAAUGAAGGUGAGUUGAGAAGCUCGCUGGAGGUAUCACGAGUGCGAAUGCUGACAUGAGUAACGAUAAAGGGCGUGAAAAACGCCCUCGCCGGAAGACCAAGGGUUUCUGUUCGACGCUAAUCGGAGCAGAGUGAGUCGGCCCCUAAGGCGAGGCCGAAAGGCGUAGUCGAUGGGAAACGGGUCAAUAUUCCCGUACCGGACAUGAUUGCGAUGGGGGACGGAGAAGGCUAGGUGAGCCAGGCGUUGGUUGUCCUGGUGAAAGUGAGUAGGCUUGGGUCUCAGGUAAAUCCGGGACCCUUCAAGGCCGAGACACGAAACGAACUGACCACGGUCAGGAAGUCAUUGAUGCCACGCUUCCAGGAAAAGCCUCUAAGCUUCAGAUCAUGUGCGACCGUACCCCAAACCGACACAGGUGGUCAGGGAGAGAAUCCCAAGGCGCUUGAGAGAACUCGGGUGAAGGAACUAGGCAAAAUGGUGCCGUAACUUCGGGAGAAGGCACGCCGGCGUAGGGUGAAGAGACUUGCUCUCCUAGCCCGAACCGGUCGAAGAUACCAGGUGGCUGCAACUGUUUAGUAAAAACACAGCACUCUGCUAACGCGCAAGCGGACGUAUAGGGUGUGACGCCUGCCCGGUGCCGGAAGGUUAAGUGAUGGUGUUAUCUUCGGAGAAGCUCUUGAUCGAAGCCCCGGUAAACGGCGGCCGUAACUAUAACGGUCCUAAGGUAGCGAAAUUCCUUGUCGGGUAAGUUCCGACCUGCACGAAUGGCGUAAUGAUGGCCACGCUGUCUCCACCCGAGACUCAGUGAAAUUGAAAUCGCCGUGAAGAUGCGGUGUACCCGCGGCUAGACGGAAAGACCCCGUGAACCUUUACUAUAGC